GCCCGCCUAGCUCAAUCGGUAGAGCGUCAGACUCUUAGGUCCAGGCGGGUCAAUACCUCUCCAACGGUAUCUGAAGGCUGUGGGUUCGACCCCCACGGUGGGCU